UACCCCACUAUGCCUAGCCAUAAACUUUGAUUAUCCGCCAGAGUACUACGAGCCACAGCUUAAAACUCAAAGGACUUGGCGGUGCUUUAUACCCCCCUAGAGGAGCCUGUUCUAUAAUCGAUAAUCCCCGAUAAACCUCACCAUCUAUUGCCAAUACAGCCUAUAUACCACCGUCCAGCCCGCCCUUUAAAGGAAAGACAGCAGGCAUAAUAAUUAACAUUAACACGUCAGGUCAAGGUGUAGCAGAUAAGAUGGAAAGAAAUGGGCUACAUUUUCUAAUUUAGAAAACACGAAUGAUUCUAUGAAAUAAUUUCUGAAGGAGGAUUUAGCAGUAAAAAGAAACAAGAAUGUUCUUUUGAAGCUGGCAAUAAAGCGCGCACACACCGCC
rnacentral:rRNA from 1 species